rnacentral:rRNA from 1 species
GAUGAACGCUGGCGGCGUGCCUAAUACAUGCAAGUCGAACGCUUCACAUAUGUGAAGAGUGGCGAACGGGUGAGUAAUACAUAAGUAACCUGGCCUUUACAGGGGGAUAACUGUUGGAAACGAUAGCUAAGACCGCAUAGGUGUGAUAACCGCAUGGAGAUGACAUGAAAUAUGCUACGGCAUAGGUAGAGGAUGGACUUAUGGCGCAUUAGCUAGUUGGAGGGGUAACGGCCCACCAAGGCGACGAUGCGUAGCCGACCUGAGAGGGUGACCGGCCACACUGGGACUGAGACACGGCCCAGACUCCUACGGGAGGCAGCAGUAGGGAAUUUUCGGCAAUGGGGGAAACCCUGACCGAGCAACGCCGCGUGAAGGAAGAAGUAAUUCGUUAUGUAAACUUCUGUCAUAGAGGAAGAACGGUGCGUGUAGGGAAUGACAUGCAAGUGACGGUACUCU